GGAGAGGGAAGGGAUAGGAGUGGAUGGAUGCAGGGAGAGGAGGUUCGGGUUAAUGGGAGAGCUUGAGUUUUGAGAUACGGAUUGCUGACGUGGUGGAAUGUUUUUCUUUGAUAACCUUAUGACGAAUUUUUGGGCGGCUAAACGAUUUUAUAUGGAAAAGUUGUCGACUAUAAGAUUAUCUAAUCUAAAUCUACAACUUUGGUAUAAAGUUCGUAUUCAUUCGAGAUCGUCUGAGAAAGUUUGUACUCAAAAAAUACAUCUUUGAAACUCAAUUAAGCUUGGCAUAAAAACAUAAAAAAAUAGAUUCGUACUAAUAAUAGCCUGUUGUACACGUACGCGUCACGCUCGUCACAAGUCACGUGAUUUUGCACACGAAAAUACGCGCGGGCUGUCCGU
rnacentral:lncRNA from 1 species